rnacentral:lncRNA from 1 species
AACAGGGAGCCUGGGCAGGGUGAGGUCAGGUGACCAUGGUGCUGCUGGCAUCUGAGGGAGAGACAGCCGAGACAGUGAAGUAAGAAAUGUUGGCCAUUGCUCGAACAUGGAGUAUCUUUAAGGUCAGGCAGCUCAGAUGUGAUGAAGCCUUAGAUAGAAGCUGUGGAGGGCUGGAUGGGGUGGGAGAGCAAGGAGUGACGAUAGGUCCAAAAGACUGCCUUUUCCUGAUGGAACCACUGGAGACCCCGAGGAGCCUGGAACUGUGCCUGGCAGAGGAGGCUGGACUCACCUGGAGACCGCGUUCUCAGAGGUGUGGGGUUUGGAAGCACUGCAGAGGGCUAGCCGGGGCCUCACAUACGCCAAGGGCCUGUUGGAGACAGCACGUGGGCCUCAGCUUUCUACGUCUAAUUCUCAAGGCUAUGGAGACA